UAACCCCCGCUAUCCAUUAAAAAAUAGCGGGAUAUUACUUUAAUGUUGCCUCCAUUUUACUUAAAAUUUCCCUCUCAAAUUUUCCCCCAAAUUAAUUUUUUUUCCCAAAACCGAUCUACUCAAAACAAAAUAUCGUCGGCUUCCUGUGGAAAAACGUUGUAAGUGUUGCCCUUCAGAUAUUUGCAAUAUAAUUUUAUUUUCCAAAUUGAAUGCAAAGUGCUCGAAUUUGAGCAAUAUCCUACUGCUCUCUCAUGGACACACCAUAAGAUAUUCUGGUGCUGCCUUAAUAGGUCGUACUCUGGGGUCGUUCCGUUUAUGCAAAUAUUCAGAAAUUUAUUCAAUUCCAGCUCACUAUUAAAGUCGCAGCUCUUGUAAUCAAUGUUGUGGGAAUAGUUUCUUCUGGUGAUGUUCCUCUAAACACAGUGCAGCUUCUUUGGGUAAAUCUCAUUAUGGAUACUCUUGGAGCACUAGCUUUGGCUACUGAGCCACUAACUAACCAUCUUAUGCAUAGACCUCAUGUUGGUCGAAGGGAGCCUCUGGUAACAAAUAUCAUGUGGAGGAAAUUGUUAAUUCAGGUCUGUGGCCUUUACUGAUAUAACCUCCGAAAGGGAAAAGAGCAGUGUAUGCGUGCGUGCUUGGCACUAAGUUAUACUUUUUCUACAUUUUUGGUGUACCCUUUUCCAUCAACUGUUUGUAAAAUAUUGAGGAUGAUAGUGCUGGCAGAAACCAUAACGACCUGAUCGUGACUUUCAUUGUGUAAGAAAUCUCUUAAGGAGAUGAGGCCAUUGACAUUGUAACUGUACGUAUGCCUAUGAACUUUUGAUAUUCAUCUGAUUAGCUACUGAGAUGCAAUAUUUUAUCUUCCAGCUACAAAACUUGUCACAAGAUCAAUCAAGGUGAUGAUGGCAUCUGGUUGUGAAGAGCCAAGUGAUGCGGCUAGUGGACCCAUUUCGCCCAUGGAUGCAAGGAGAUUACGUGAUGAUAGUGAUCCUAAUGACUGUCAUUGAUUUCGUUGUAAAUUGUCUUGGAUAUUCAAUUAUGAUGAUGUAAUUGUGUGGUUGGAGUGAAUCAUAGAAUAUUGAAGGUUUUGUGUUUAAAUUUGAUUUUGGAGUUUGAAGAUACUAGUUAAUGUUGAAAUUUUGGAGU